GAUGAACGCUGGAGGCGUGCUUAACACAUGCAAGUCGAACGAUGAAAUGGAGCUUGCUCCAUGGAUUAGUGUCGAACGGGUGAGUAACACGUGAAUAACCUGCCCUUAAUUUUGGAAUAACCCAGGGAAACCUGGGCUAAUACCGGAUAAGUAAACCUGUGGCAUCACAUGGUUUUGGAAAGUUUUUCGAUUAAGGAUGGAUUCGCGGCCUAUCAGCUUGUUGGUGAGGUAAUGGCUCACCAAGGCGACGACGGGUAGCCGGCCUGAGAGGGUGAACGGCCACACUGGGACUGAGACACGGCCCAGACUCCUACGGGAGGCAGCAGUGGGGAAUAUUGCGCAAUGGACGAAAGUCUGACGCAGCGACGCCUCGUGAGGGACGAAGGUCUUCGGAUUGUAAACCUCUUUCAGCAGGGACGAAGCGAAAGUGACGGUACCUGCAGAAGAAGCACCGGCUAACUAUGUGCCAGCCGCCGCUGUAA
rnacentral:rRNA from 1 species